UGUGACCAUGGGCUGCUGUGAUCUGU
rnacentral:piRNA from 1 species